CCUACGGGUGGCAGCAGUGGGGAAUAUUGCACAAUGGGGGAAACCCUGAUGCAGCGACGCCGCGUGAGUGAAGAAGUAUCUCGGUACGUAAAGCUCUAUCAGCAGGGAAGAAAAUGACGGUACCUAACUAAGAAGCCCCGGCGAACUACGUGCCAGAAGCCGAGGUAAUACGUAGUGGGCACGCGUUAUCCGGUUUUACUGGGUGUAAAGUGAGCGUAGACGGCAGCACAAGUCUGGAGUGAAAUCCCGGGGCUUAACCCCGGAAGUGCUUUGGAAACUGUGCGGCUGGAGUGCAGGAGGGGUAAGCGGAAUUCCUAGUGUAGCGGUGAAAUGCGUAGAUAUUAGGAGGAACACCGGUGGCGAAGGCGACUUACUGGUCUGUAACUGACGUUGAGGCUCGAAAGCGUGGGGAGCAAACAGGAUUAGAUACCCGAGUAGUC
rnacentral:rRNA from 1 species